rnacentral:piRNA from 1 species
GCCAGGUUCUUUGAAAAGACAACCAUAGUUU